rnacentral:lncRNA from 1 species
UGGCACUGCCAGGUGGGUGCUGGGGGUGGCACUGCCAGGUGAGUGCUGGGGGUGGCACUGCCAGGUGGGUGCUGGGGGUGGCACUGCCAGCUCACUUCUCCUGGUGGCAGUGCCAGGUGAGUUCCCAUUUUUUCCAUCCCAAAAUCCAGCAUUAAAUCCUGACUCUCCAUAAAUAAAAAGUUUAAAACUCCCCAGUCCUUUUUUAUCAGUUUGAAUCACCACCAGCCCAUCAGUGUUUUCAUAAUUAAUUGUUUAAUUAGAGAUGUUCUGCUGCUCUUUCAGGUACCUGAUUGAGGUUGAAGGCAUGGAGCCCAAUGCUGCCAUAGAAUUGUUCAACACGGCUCGAGGGCACCCCAUGGAGAGACCCAACUACAUCCAGGACCUGCAGAGCAGAGCCCCGGGCUGUGAGCUGAAGGAUCUGGGCUCAGAUGUGAGGAAGGAGAGCAGCGCCCCAGCGCAGCCCCAGAAGCACCCCCAGCCCGCCCUGGCAGUGCCCAGGUGGGUGUUUGCCCCUUCCCCUGCUCCCUCCCUUUGCAACAGCCCCAGCCGGAUCUUUCCAGGCUCCCCCAGCUCUGGGAGGGUGAAAAAAAGAAUUUCUGGAAGUUGUUCAGAGCCAAAGCGGCAGCAGGGAGGCUCUUGUGCCUGGGAAUGGUCACAAAGCAUCUCCAGAACAGCUGUGGGCACAGCUGGGGCUCCUUCCCCCUCUGCCCCAGUUCCUGAUGGAGAUUGAGAAAAAUUUCUGAUGGAAAUGGAAAAAAAUUCCUGAUGGAAAUUGGAGAAAAUUCCUGAUGGAAAUUGGAGAAAAUUCCUGACGGAAACGGAAAAAAAUUCCUGAUGGAAACGGAAAAAAAUUCCUGAUGGAAAUGGAAAAAAAUUCCUCAUGGAAAAUGGAAAAAAAUUCCUGAUGGAAAUUGGAGAAAAUUCCUGAUGGAAAUGGAAAAAUAUUCCUGAUGGAAAUGGAAAAAAAUCCCAGAUGAGGAUUGAAAAUUCCUGAUGGAAAUCCUGUCAGAAAUGAGGAGUGGGCCUCUCUGGGAGUUCAGGCUGCAGGAAAGGCUCUGGGUGCCCCCUCAGCCCUUUUUUGGGUGCUGAUCCCCAAUUUCCUUGCAGGAGCAGCAGCAGUGGCAGGCAGAGACAGGAAGAGCAGAAAAAUCUGGAGCAGAGGAAGCAGAAAAAGCAGAAUCAUCAGGAGAGAGAACAUCAGGAAGAGAGGAAACAGA